CUAAAAUAUGAGCUAUUGAACUUACCAGUGCCAAGACACUUACAGCAGCUACAAGAGGGCGCAGUGCCAACGUUACAUCCUCCAUCACAUGAAGCCCCUGCUUCAGCUGCUGAGUUGGAUAACCCCCAGGAGGGGGUGCUCGUGGAUGACUCUCACCCACAGCCCUCACAGCAGCAACAUGGUCAGGAGAGUGCCGCCCCUGGUGCUGAGUUAGAUGACGACCUGGAGGGUGUACUCGUGAAUGAUCACCCACAGCCUUCACAGCAGCAACAUGGCCAGAAGGGUGCAGGCACUCCAGGGAAGGACGCAGCUUGUGUUCCUGCAACAAGUGACUGUGGAGACAUGGAUUUCCAUCUGUUAAAGGCCAGACAAGAAAAGACAGGUCUUCUUGCAGAAUUAGCGGAGAGGGAUAGCAUCAUUAAGUCUCAGAAUGAAGAAAUUGUGAAGUUAAGGGAGAAGUUGCAAAAUGCUGAAAGUCAGCUAAGCGCGUACAUGUCACCUUCUCAGAUUGAUUGUGUCUUUAGCAAGAAAGCUGUUCACCGGUGGCUGGAUGAGGAUAUCAGCCAUGCACUUUCCUUAAGAAAUUUGAGCGCCAAGGCCUACAAGUUUGUGAGGAAUGAAUGGAAGAUUCCUCUCCCAUCAGUAUCUACACUGAACCGCAGGACAGCCCAAGUAAAUGUCGAGCCUGG